rnacentral:tRNA from 1 species
GAGAGGUGUCCGAGUGGUUUAAGGAGCCGGUCUUGAAAACCGGUGAUAUCGCAAGGUACCGUGGGUUCGAAUCCCACCCUCUCC